AUGGACGCCGAUGAUGCCGCCCGGAGCCGCAGAAGGAUGGAUCUGAACCUCUACCUCGGCCUCCCCCGCGCCCCGCGCCCGCGCCGCCCCGAUCUCGGCUCCGACCUCGCCCUCGGCAAUUCCAUGCUCUCCUCCUCGCCUUCCUCCUCCGCCGCCUCCGCGGACGCCCCGCCGCCCGACCGGGACCGGGACCGGGACCUGGACCCGCUCCACCCGCCCUACUCCCCCACCCGCGCCGACCUGAUGCGCCCGCCGCCCGAGCCAUACCACAUCUCCGCCUCCGUGCUGCGCGCGCCCUACCUCCAGGCCGAGGAGGUUCCCAUAACCGAGCUCGCCCAAGAGUUCGGCUUCUCGCACCCGCCCCCGCCACCCCCACCGCCGCCGCGGCCCAGCGAGCUGCUCGGCUGGGUCGACCGCCCCUCCUCCUCCACGGCCUCCUCCACCUUCCGCCCGGAGCGUUCCGAGCGCUACCGCCGCGCCAUCUCCAUGAAUGGCCGCCAGCUGCGCUGCCUCCGUCCCAGGCGCUUCCGCUCAGACCUUCCUCCUCUCAGCUCCGAGGCCCCUAGCCCGGACAACGAGGCUGCACUGGAACCGCCGCAACAGCAGCCCGUGCAGGAUGCCGUCGAGGAGAAUAAGGUGGUUGACAAUGGUGCCAUGGUGGGUGCCGAGGAUGAGCCGGCGGACCGUGGCAAGAGCACUGCCAUGUUUGAGUGCAACAUCUGCUUUGAGAUGGCCGACGAGCCGGUGGUCACUUCUUGCGGCCAUCUCUUCUGCUGGCCUUGUUUGUACCAGUGGCUGCAUAUUCAUUCCACCCACAAGGAAUGCCCUGUCUGCAAAGGUGAGGUCACUGAAGGAAACAUCACUCCUAUCUAUGGGAGAGGGAAUUCAACUUCCGAUGUGGAGAAGAAAGUCGCAGACGAUGGCAACGUGUCCAGUCCUAACAUUCCCGCCAGGCCACAUGGGAACCGGCUUGAGAGUUUUCGACAACAGUUCCAUCAUUUGCGCCCAAUUUCUCGUAGGCUUGGCGAGGCACAUGGGAUAUUAUCUUCUUGGAGACGCAUUCUUGAUCAGCAGAUUAUGACUAGCGCGAGUAGGUUUGAAGGGCCUCCAGAAUCAUCUGUCCAGGAGAUGAUAGAUCAUGCUCAUCAGACUGGCCGUUUAAGCCGAAUUACUACUAGGAUGAGAGCAAGGAGGUUGCAAAGGGAAGCAGAAAAUCCUGCAUUUGUUUCUUCAUCUAUUCCAGACGGCGGGAUGCCAGGAAGCAGCACGCCGGAUCCUCCUAGGCGUAGUUCAAGUCCACUUUCCUCGGAAGGAAUUGAUUUAUUGCAACGCCUUACCCUUGUUGGCCUUGCAAAUACGGAAAGGUUGGCAACUGCAGUGAGCGAUCUUAGAAGAAUAUCCAGGCCAAGCCUCCGAGCAUCAACUUCGUCAAAUUUACCAAAUCAUGAGCCGCCAGUUGAUGGAAUUCAUGCUGCUGCAGCACCGUCUGCAGAUCAAACUUCUAAUUCAAGCACAAUGGCUGUGAUUCAGGAGGAUGCUGCUUUUACUGAAAGCGUAGGAGAACCUAGCAAUGCAGGGUCCUCAAGAACCCUGAGGAGGAGGGGAAGAAGCGACGCCUUAGGUUCGUUGGAUGUGGAUGGUGGCGAAACACACCGGAACAAGAGAAGGCGGCUGAACUAA
rnacentral:rRNA from 1 species